rnacentral:rRNA from 1 species
AUUGAACGCUGGCGGCAGGCUUAACACAUGCAAGUCGAGCGGAGAUGAGGUGCUUGCACCUUAUCUUAGCGGCGGACGGGUGAGUAAUGCUUAGGAAUCUGCCUAUUAGUGGGGGACAACAUUCCGAAAGGAAUGCUAAUACCGAAUACGCCCUACGGGGGAAAGCAGGGGAUCUUCGGACCUUGCGCUAAUAGAUGAGCCUAGGUCGGAUUAGCUAGCUGGUGGGGUAAAGGCCUACCAAGGCGACGAUCUGUAGCGGGGCUGAGAGGAUGAUCCGCCACACUGGAACUGAGACACGGCCCAGACUCCUACGGGAGGCAGCAGUGGGGAAUAUUGGACAAUGGGCGGAAGCCUGAUCCAGCCAUGCCGCGUGUGUGAAGAAGGCCUUUUGGUUGUAAAGCACUUUAAGCGAGGAGGAGGCUACCUGGAUUAAUACUCUAGGAUAGUGGACGUUACUCGCAGAAUAAGCACCGGCUAACUCUGUGCCAGCAGCCGCCGUAAUAC